UCCAGCCAUACCGCGUGAGUGAAGAAGGCCUUCGGGUUGUAAAGCUCUUUCAGCCGGAAAGAAAUCGCGUUUAUUAAUACUAAGCGUGGAUGACGGUACCGGAAGAAGAAGCACCGGCUAACUACGUGCCAGCAGCCGCGGUAAUACGUAGGGUGCGAGCGUUAAUCGGAAUUACUGGGCGUAAAGCGUGCGCAGGCGGUUCUGUAAGACAGAUGUGAAAUCCCCGGGCUCAACCUGGGAACUGCAUUUGUGACUGCAAGACUAGAGUGUAGCAGAGGGGGGUAGAAUUCCACGUGUAGCAGUGAAAUGCGUAGAGAUGUGGAGGAAUACCGAUGGCGAAGGCAGCCCCCUGGGCUAACACUGACGCUCAUGCACGAAAGCGUGGGGAGCAAACAGGAUUAGAUACCCUGGUAGUCCACGCCCUAAACGAUGUCAACUAGGUGUUGGGGAAGGAGACUUCUUUAGUACCGCAGCUAACGCGUGAAGUUGACCGCCUGGGGAGUACGGUCGCAAGAUUA
rnacentral:rRNA from 1 species